GUCGCGAAUGAAAAAGGCUUAGCGAAAGCCGCAUUCUUGGAGAGGGAAGCUCCUGGCGUUUCCCGGUGUUCCAUUCUGUGUCUUGAAGGUGACCUCUGACCUCUGACAAAAGCUCUGUCUCGAUUUCGGCCCCGAGCAAGGUAAGAGUUCUAGCUAAGCGCUCAGCUCUUUCAUUUGUCCUCUCGCCCCACACGAGUCUUCUUGAAACGGAGAGGCGACUCCGUUCCCUGGGUUUAGGGGUAGCGCUUUAGUCGGUUACUUUGUUGAACUGCCCACCACUCGAAAACUCGACGGUGUUCUGAGGCUGUUCAGUCACGUGAGGAAUGCGUUCUGGAGGAGGCAGUCACAACUGACAUUCGUUUCAGUUGCUUGCACGACGCGGUGGAUGCCAGGACGCCCGGUGGUUGGUAUCUUUCCUCGUUUUUUGUUAGAUUAGAGCGUGUGGUCGUCCUGGUGUCAAUCACGUGUUUUUCAACCUCAGUAGCAGAAAUAUUUCCGGAUUUAGAUGCGUCACCUACAGAGGUCCAUCUUAACUCGUGCCAAGAUGUGUGAAGACGGACUUUGCCUUAAGAAGUGCCCGUAUCGUCACAACGAAAGGCUGGUGAGGGUACAUCUUUGAUAUGGACUAGACUCCCACAGAGUGUAUGGGAUUACUGCCCCUCAAGUUUGUGUUGUAAAAUAUUCAGUAGUAGACCAUGUUAAGGAAUGUGAAAACCUAUCGUGCAGGUGGAUGCAACCUUCUAACAAAAGGAAACAAAAAAUACGUUCCUUGUUUCCUGCUCCACAGCGCACAUGACCGGAAUGCCGGCAAAGCCAUGCCCCUUCCAGUCUGCUUGAAGUGGAAGAUCUAAUGAUUCGGAUUGCACCGAAAGCUUAUCGAGGGUCGGCGGUACCUUUCCUGUUUGACAAAUCCACAGCAAAGUGGCACUGUAGCUGUGGAAGAGAAUAGCGCUUGUCAUGAGGAAUUCAUCGGAAAUCAAAUAUGGGGCUUUGGAAAGACGUUUUUAAGAAGCAGCGCAGUCUUUUGCUCAGCACUGUCCUGUAGACGCAUAUGAUUGGGCAGAUUCGUGACAUUUUCUCUCAUUCUCUCUAUACGCUGACAACAUUUGAUGUUAUCAUCUGAUGGGUUGUGCCGUAUCAGGAUGUUCCGACGUCCAUUACCCUAUACCGUGACAAUAUUUUCCACAACUUAAAACUCUAUACGCU
rnacentral:lncRNA from 1 species